GAUGGGCACAGUGUCUCGUGCCUGUAGUCCUGGCUUCUCUGGAGCCUGAGGCAAGAGGAUAACUUGAGUCCGGGAGUUCUGGGCUGUAGUGUGCUAUGCCAAUUGGGUGUCUGCACUAAGUUCAGCAUCACUAUGGUGACCUUCCUGGAGCAGACCACCAGGUUGCCUAAGCAGGGGUAAAAAGGCCCAGGUUAGAAAUAGAGCAGGUCAAAACUCCCAUACCGAUCAUGGGACCAUGAUCAUAGUGGGACCAUGAUCAUAGUGGGACCAUGUCUACAAAUAAGUGAGACCCUGUCUU
ensembl:misc_RNA Metazoa_SRP Metazoan signal recognition particle RNA